AUUGAACGCUAGCGGCAUGCCUAACACAUGCAAGUCGAACGAGUGGCGGACGGGUGAGUAAUGUCUGGGAAAGUGCCCAAUGGCGGGGGAUAACUACUCGAAACGGUAGCUAAUACCGCAUACUAUCGGAUCGGCCGAGAUCGGAUUAGCUAGUUGGUGGGGUAAAGGCUCACCUAGGCGACGAUCCCUAGCUGGUCUGAGAGGAAGACCAGCGACACUGGAACUGAGACAAGGCCCAGACUCAUACGGGAGGCAUCAGUGGGGAAUAUUGCACAAUGGGCGAAAGCCUGAUGCAGCAAUACCGCGUGUAUGAAGAAGGCCUUCGGGUUGUAAAGUACUUUGAGCGGAGAAGCGAUAGCCGCAGAAGAAGCACCGGCUAACUACGUGCCAGCAGCCGCGGUAAUUC
rnacentral:rRNA from 1 species